rnacentral:rRNA from 1 species
GACGAACGCUGGCGGCGUGCCUAAUACAUGCCAGUAGAACGCACAGUUUAUACCGUAGCUUGCUACACCAUAGACUGUGAGUUGCGAACGGGUGAGUAACGCGUAGGUAACCUGCCUGGUAGCGGGGGAUAACUAUUGGAAACGAUAGCUAAUACCGCAUAAUAUUGAUUAUUGCAUGAUAAUUAAUUGAAAGGUGCAAUUGCACCACUACCAGAUGGACCUGCGUUGUAUUAGCUAGUAGGUGAGGUAACGGCUCACCUAGGCGACGAUACAUAGCCGACCUGAGGGGGUGAUCGGCCACACUGGGACUGAGACACGGCCCAGACUCCUACGGGAGGCAGCAGUAGGGAAUCUUCGGCAAUGGACGAAAGUCUGACCGAGCAACGCCGCGUGAGUGAAGAAGGUUUUCGGAUCGUAAAGCUCUGUUGUAAGAGAAGAACGGGUGUGAGAGUGGAAAGUUCACACUGUGACGGUAUCUUACCAGAAAGGGACGGCUAACUACGUG